UACGUAGGGUGCGAGCGUUACUCGGAAUUACUGGGCGUAAAGCGUGCGCAGGCGGUUUUGCAAGCCGGGUGUGAAAUCCCCGGGCUUAACCUGGGAAUGGCAUUUGGGACUGCAAGGCUGGAGUGCGGCAGAGGAGACUGGAAUUCCUGGUGUAGCAGUGAAAUGCGUAGAUAUCAGGAGGAACACCGGUGGCGAAGGCGGGUCUCUGGGCCGAUACUGACGCUGAGGAGCGAAAGCGUGGGGAGCGAACAGG
rnacentral:rRNA from 1 species